AUCACCAUGGUAUCUUGUGCACAUGAACCCAUGUUUUGGUUUACACUCAUUCAUGACAAUAAGUUGUGUACGAGGUCUUCUGGAUGUGGUGAAUUGUGUAUGAAGAUUAUGAGUAGGUCAACAAGAAAUUAAUCACUUCUAGUUAGAGAGAUAGCAUCCUAUUUAUUCUAAUCAUAUGAUAAUUCAGGAAGCCUUUGAUCAAAGCAGAAUAAAAAUUAGAAAGAGUUUCUAAUGUUUCAUUAUUUGAAUUAUCAUUAAAAGAUUGAGAAAGAUAUGAAUAUGAAAUUGAGAUUGACAUAUAUUCAUACUCAUAUACAUAUUCGGGAUGCAGUUUGAUUAAAGGAUUGAAUUGCACGGUAACUUGCCACUGAAGGGUAUUUUUGGUAUUUCCACCAAAUUCCAUAUUUUUCGGGUAGACAUGACACGUUGCUAGACGUCAAUCUUGUCUUAUAGGUUUGAUCGAAUUAAAGAGUUUAAUUCGAUCACCAAUUAGAAAGGAUUCUAAUUGUUAAGUUCGGGUUCGCGCAGUUUAGACUUAAAUCGAUUAGAAGAGUUCUAAUCAAGUUGGGUCAACUCGCACUCACACCUAUUGCUGGCUAAGUAUGGAACCCAAUGGAUCACACACAAGGAAACUUAUCAAGGGUCUAAUUGGAUUAGAUCAUGUUUGCAAGAUAAACAUCCUAGCAGGUGUUGCAAACCCUUAGCUCCUGAUUCGAAUUGGAUUCGAAUCUGAUUUGAAUUGGAUUCGAAUUUGAUUCU
rnacentral:lncRNA from 1 species